rnacentral:tmRNA from 1 species
GGGGCCGACAUGGAUUCGACAGCGGCUUCGUGAUGUGUGUAAGCAUGUCGGGCGUGGUGUGCGGCCCGUAUCCCAGUGCACCAAUGCCGUAACUGGCAACAACGACUACGCUCUCGCUGCCUAAUAGCCUCAGGCUAUGACGCUUUAUCCGUGUGAACAACAGUAGCACGGACGAGUACCUCUCGGAGAGGCCCGUUCUCCUCCUUUCCGGCCCAGAGGUGUCAUCCUGGAGAACUGGUCAGCGUGGUGGUCCGGAGCGCUGAUGAGAAACAGGACCUAAGCCUUCGGUGGGGUGCCCUUCCCCAGCCGGUGGUCGAAAACCAAUGAAGAGGCUACGCAUGUAGAAAGCCCAUGUUGCGGUCGUUUGGACGGCGGUUCGAUCCCGCCCGGCUCCACGA